rnacentral:rRNA from 1 species
CCCUUAGAUGUCCUGGGCUGCACGCGCGCUACACUGAUGAGUCCAGUAAGCACCUAACCUCUUCCGAAAGGAACGGGUAACCUUUGCAAAGCACAUCGUGAUGGGGAUAGAUUAUUGCAAUUAUUAGUCUUGAACGAGGAAUUCCUAGUAAGCACAAGUCAUCGGCUUGUGUUGAUUACGUCCCUGCCCUUUGUACACACCGCCCGUCGCUCCUACCGAUUGAAUGUUCCGGUGAGCUCUUCGGACUGCGCGGUCUGCAGUUUCUGCGUUCCGUGCGGAAAGUUGCGCAAACCUUAACAUUUAGAGGAAGGAGAAGUCGUAACA